CCUGUCAACAAUAGCCACUGGCAUUUUCAUCCCAUCCAAAUAAUAUCAUAAAAGAAAGCCAAAACGAAAACAAAUUAAAAGGGAAGAAGAAGUAGCAAAUCAACCCAUCGCCCCCGCAGCCAUGGCAACUUCAUCUUCACUGUUUCACUCUUCGCUCGCGUCCUCUCUAACUCACAACAAACACAAACAAUUCCAUCGCAACUCUAAACUCUCCUCCACCACCACCACCACAACCCGUCGUAUCGUUACCCCAAUAUCAUGCACCUCCUCCACACUCGAUCCCUCCGCUUCCUCUAACAACACGCCACCUGUCACCACCAAGCACCGCCGUCCCGCCGAAGAAAACAUUCGCGACGAGGCACGCCGUCACCGCUCUUCAUCCUCCGCCGUUAACACCUUUUCCGCUAAGUACAUCCCGUUCAACGCGCCACCUGACUCGCGUGAAUAUUACUCGCUUGAUGAGAUCGUAUACAGAAGUCGUUCUGGCGGUUUACUGGACGUGCAGCACGACAUGGAAGCAUUAAAAAAAUUCGACGGCGGGUAUUGGCGUGACUUAUUCGAUUCGCGCGUGGGGAAAACCACGUGGCCUUACGGGUCAGGUGUUUGGUCUAAAAAGGAAUGGGUCUUGCCCGAAAUCGAUCCUGAUGAUAUAGUGUCCGCUUUUGAGGGAAACUCUAAUUUAUUUUGGGCUGAGAGAUUUGGCAAACAGUUUCUAGGCAUGAAUGAUUUAUGGGUUAAACAUUGUGGCAUUAGCCAUACAGGCAGUUUUAAAGAUUUAGGUAUGACUGUUUUGGUUAGUCAAGUUAAUCGUUUGCGUAAGAUGAAAAAACCGGUGGUCGGCGUUGGUUGCGCCUCCACUGGAGAUACAUCAGCUGCAUUGUCGGCUUAUUGUGCGUCGGCUGGGAUUCCAUCGAUUGUGUUUUUGCCAGCGAAUAAAAUCUCAAUUGCGCAAUUAGUGCAACCAAUUGCGAAUGGAGCAUUUGUGUUGAGUAUAGACACUGAUUUUGAUGGGUGUAUGAAAUUGAUUCGCGAAGUUACUGCUGAAUUGCCCAUUUAUUUAGCGAAUUCGUUGAAUAGUUUGAGGUUAGAAGGGCAAAAAACUGCCGCAAUUGAGAUAUUGCAGCAGUUUGAUUGGGAAGUACCGGAUUGGGUUAUAGUUCCAGGUGGCAAUUUAGGGAAUAUAUAUGCUUUUUAUAAAGGGUUUAAGAUGUGUCAUGAACUAGGGCUUGUUGAUAGAAUACCUAGAUUAGUUUGUGCUCAAGCUGCUAAUGCUAAUCCGCUUUAUUUAUAUUACAAGUCAGGAUGGAAAGAUUUUAAGCCUGUGAAAGCGAAUUCAACAUUUGCUUCAGCUAUACAGAUUGGAGACCCGGUUUCUAUAGAUAGAGCUGUAUAUGCUUUAAAGAAAUGCAACGGAAUUGUCGAGGAAGCCACAGAAGAGGAGUUGAUGGAUGCAAUGGCGCAAGCCGAUUCUACUGGGAUGUUUAUAUGCCCUCAUACUGGAGUUGCGUUGACAGCUUUGAUUAAGCUUAGGAAUAGUGGGAUUAUAGGGCCUAUGGACAGGACAGUUGUGGUCAGUACAGCUCAUGGGUUGAAAUUUACACAGUCUAAGAUUGAUUACCACUCCAAAGCAAUACCAGAUAUGGCUUGCAAGUAUGCUAACCCACCUGUGCAAGUUAAGGCAGAUUUUGGUGCGGUAAUGGAUGUUUUGAAGACGUAUUUGGGUAAUAAGGCUCCCAAGUAAACCACUCUUUUGCCGAUUUUGUAUGCGUAGACAUGUAAUUUUUGGGUAAGGGUAUCAUACUACCCAUUCCCAUUUCCAUUCCUAAGCAGGGCAUAAGAAAGCUGAACCUCUGGACACUCUAGUUUCACUAUGAAUCUUUGAUGUAUGGGGAGCAGCACAAAAACACCUAAGAAUUGACUGGUUAUUAUGAAUCUCUUGUGAAACACCACACCAGUCGAUGUUGUACUGUUGUUGAUGAGGUGAUGUGAUGUGAUUGACCGCAUUUUUAACAGGUUGAAACCCCCCCACUGGUCAAAUACCUCGUUUGCAAAAUUGUUCCAUAGAUUAUUGGAGCUUUUACUAAUAUGCUGUUCAGUAUAUCUGGCAUAAACUGCCUCGACUUGCAUAUGCAGUUGGUUGUGUGGGGAAUUGUAAGAGCCUUUGUACUUUUGGCAGCAGAUCAUUAUUGGUCGUAAUUUUUAUUUUUCUAAAUGGCUAUAGUUACUAUAGUGUUUCAGCCUUCA